rnacentral:rRNA from 1 species
GACAGAGGGGGCAAGCGUUGCUCGGAAUCACUGGGCGUAAAGGGCGCGUAGGCGGGAUGGCAAGUCGGUCGUGAAAUCCUUCGGCUCAACCGAAGAACGUCGGCCGAUACUGCUGUUCUUGAGGGAUGCAGAGGUCGGUGGAAUUGCCGGUGUAGUGGUGAAAUGCGUAGAGAUCGGCAGGAACACCCAGGGGGAAACCAGCCGACUGGGCAAGUGCUGACGCUGAGGUGCGAGAGCGUGGGGAGCGAACCGG